rnacentral:rRNA from 1 species
GAUGAACGCUAGCGGCAGGCUUAAUACAUGCAAGUCGAGGGGCAUCAAGGUACACGAAAGUGUAUUGUUGGCGACCGGCGGACGGGUGAGUAAUAGGUAGGUAACCUACCUCAUACUGAGGCAUAGCUGGGAGAAAUUCCAGGUAAUUCCUCAUGAGGUUAUAUGACACAUGUGAUACAAUCAAAGGUAUCGCAAGGUACUGGUAUGAGAUGGGCUUACUGACCAUUAGCUAGUUGGUGAGAUAAGAGCUCACCAAGGCGAAGAUGGUUAGGGGUUUUGAGAGAGAGAUCCCCCACAUUGGAACUGAGAUACGGUCCAGACUCCUACGGGAGGCAGCAGUGAGGAAUAUUGGUCAAUGGGCGAGAGCCUGAACCAGCCAAGUCGCGUGAAGGAAGAAGGUUCUAUGGAUUGUAAACUUCUUUUGCAGGGGAAUAAAGGCGGUACGUGUACUGUUUUGUAUGUACCUUGCGAAUAAGGAUCGGCUAACUCCGUG